UACGAAGGGGGCUAGCGUUGUCCGGAUUUACUGGGCGUAAAGCGCGUGUAGGCGGAUUGAUAAGUUGGGGGUGAAAGCCCAGAGCUCAACUCUGGAACUGCCUUCAAGACUGUCAGUCUGGACUCAAGGAGAGGCGAGUGGAAUUGCGAGUGUAGAGGUGAAAUUCGUAGAUAUUCGCAGGAACACCAGUGGCGAAGGCGACUCGCUGGACUUGUAGUGACGCUGAGACGCGAAAGCGUGGGGAGCAAACAGG
rnacentral:rRNA from 1 species